AAUACGGGGGGAGCAAGCGUUGUUCGGAUUUACUGGGCGUAAAGGGCGCGUAGGCGGCCAGCGCAAGUCAGUUGUGAAAUCUCCGAGCUUAACUCGGAAAGGUCAACUGAUACUGCGCGGCUAGAGUGCGGAAGGGGCAACUGGAAUUCUUGGUGUAGCGGUGAAAUGCGUAGAUAUCAAGAGGAACACCUGCGGCGAAGGCGGGUUGCUGGGCCGACACUGACGCUGAGGCGCGAAAGCUAGGGGAGCGAACGG
rnacentral:rRNA from 1 species